rnacentral:misc_RNA from 1 species
GAAACGCGAUAGUUAAUGUGAAUUGCAGAAUUCAGUGAAUCAUCGAGUCUUUGAACGCACAUUGCGCCCAUAGGUAUUCCUUUGGGCAUGUCUGUUUGAGCGUCAUUACAACCCUCAGCUAACCGCUGGUUUUGAACCUGAACGGGUGACACCGCGCCGGUUUUAAAGUUGUAAGCUCUGCUGGCCGCUCUGCCCAACCAGAACAUAGUAAGCACUACUUGUCCGGGUGAAGCUGAACGGUACGGCCUGAACAAAACCUACCCACUCUCAAGGUUUGACCUCAGAUCAGACAAGGAUACCCGCUGCACUCAAGC